GAUGAACGCUGGCGGCGUGCCUAAUACAUGCAAGUCGAGCGAACAGACGAGGAGCUUGCUCCUCUGACGUUAGCGGCGGACGGGUGAGUAACACGUGGAUAACCUACCUAUAAGACUGGGAUAACUUCGGGAAACCGGAGCUAAUACCGGAUAAUAUAUUGAACCGCAUGGUUCAAUAGUGAAAGACGGUUUUGCUGUCACUUAUAGAUGGAUCCGCGCCGCAUUAGCUAGUUGGUAAGGUAACGGCUUACCAAGGCAACGAUGCGUAGCCGACCUGAGAGGGUGAUCGGCCACACUGGAACUGAGACACGGUCCAGACUCCUAAGGGAGGCAGCAGUAGGGAAUCGUCCGCAAUGGGCGAAAGCCUGACGGAGCAACGGCGCGUGAGUGAUGAAGGUCUUCGGAUCGUAAAACUCUGUUAUUAGGGAAGAACAAAUUUGUAAGUAACUAUGCACGUCUUGACGGUACCUAAACAGAAAGCCACGGCUAACUACGUG
rnacentral:rRNA from 1 species